rnacentral:rRNA from 1 species
GUAGGGUGCAAGCGUUAAUCGGAAUUACUGGGCGUAAAGCGUGCGCAGGCGGUUAUAUAAGACAGUUGUGAAAUCCCCGGGCUCAACCUGGGAACUGCAUCUGUGACUGUAUAGCUAGAGUACGGUAGAGGGGGAUGGAAUUCCGCGUGUAGCAGUGAAAUGCGUAGAUAUGCGGAGGAACACCGAUGGCGAAGGCAAUCCCCUGGACCUGUACUGACGCUCAUGCACGAAAGCGUGGGGAGCAAACAGGAUUAGAUACCCUGGUAGUCCACGCCCUAAACGAUGUCAACUGGUUGUUGGGUCUUCACUGACUCAGUAACGAAGCUAACGCGUGAAGUUGACCGCCUGGGGAGUACGGCCGCAAGGUUG